rnacentral:lncRNA from 1 species
UCAGUCAAUAACAACAUGCUAGCAGAUUAACUUCACUACUUGCAUUGGGCCAAAGUAAUGCUCCCUAUAUCAAGUUUACACCUUAAAUUUCUCAUUACUGCUAGUAAACUAAUUUUUACAAUGUAAUGCAAAUAAGCAAAUUAAUCAGUGAUGUCUUUCCAGCCUAAAUUAUAGGAAACGAAAUUCCUUAAUUCCAAAUAAAAAAUAAAAUCUUAUCCAGUUGAUGUAGUUAGCAAAAAAAAAAGAAAAAACUUGAAACAUACAAAAAGAAAAAAAAUUCAAAGUCCUAAUAAACAUAGACCAAUGUAAUAAACAAAAUGGCAUGGCAAAAUAUCUAGUGGAUUCCAAUUUUUAUCACACAAAACCAAGAGGCAAUAUUCAAUAAUUUUAACCAAAUUUCCAUAAGCUUUACGUAAACUAAUCACGAGCGCAUUCAAAAGCUUAAACAGACAGAAACUAUAAAAUUAUCAGUUCAGCAAAUAUCUAACAAUAACUUAUAAUCAUGUAGCUUAGUAAAAUUGAAGAAAAGAGGAAAGAUAAGAGCGAACCUCAAAUCAAUAAACUUUCUUCAAUAUUCAAAAGGCGAAUUUGUACAACACAUUAUCGUUCCGACAGCUAAAGUGAAGUUUCAUCAACGAAAUCCGGACCGGGAACCUCGUCGUUCGACUCAAAGUGCAAUAACUUGUCAACUUUUGGUAUAAAUCAACCAAAUCGGAACUUCUAACGGCUAAACAAACUCGGCGGCUCUUGACUGGAGCUCUCAUCGGUGAACCCAUACGAAAACAGCAACCUCGACCUCCACUUUGAUGUCACCGUUUACAUCGAAAACAGGGUUGUUCUGGGGUGUUCUUAGCUGGGAUUUGGUGGUCUAAGGUUGGAUUUGAGGGCUGUUUUGUUGUCUUUUUGGGGCUGAAAUUUCCAGCUAGUUUGGAUGGUGUUUUAAAACGGCAGCUCGUAGAAGACGAUGGGCAUGGUUGAAACUUUUUGGAAUGGAGACCGUUCUUCUUCUGCUGAAGAAGCAAAAGAUCUGAAGGCUACCUCUUUUGUUGUCUCUUAGCUUUAGGUCUCUCGGGCGAGGCAGCUCGUAGAAGACGAUGGGCGUGGUUGAAACUUUUUGGAAUGGAGACCAUUCUUCUUCUGCUGAAGAAGCAAAAGAUCUGAAGGCUACCUCUUUUGUUGUCUCUUAGCUUUAGGUCUCUCGGGCGUUACUUUGUGUUGUUCUUUUAGAGAGAAACGACUGAUUGGUAUUUUCUGAUGUACGUCUAUUUUAGGCGUUAGAUACUAUUACGUGUACGAAUUACUUUAGGGGUAUGGACCUAAGUCUAAAAUGGUUAUUCGAG